rnacentral:rRNA from 1 species
GUGGUUCAACUGAUUUGAAGAGCUUGCUCAGAUAUGACGAUGGACAUUGCAAAGAGUGGCGAACGGGUGAGUAACACGUGGGAAACCUACCUCUUAGCAGGGGAUAACAUUUGGAAACAGAUGCUAAUACCGUAUAACAAUGACAACCGCAUGGUUGUUAUUUAAAAGAUGGUUCUGCUAUCACUAAGAGAUGGUCCCGCGGUGCAUUAGCUAGUUGGUAAGGKAAUGGCUUACCAAGGCGAUGAUGCAUAGCCGAGUUGAGAGACUGAUCGGCCACAAUGGGACUGAGACACGGCCCAUACUCCUACGGGAGGCAGCASUAGGGAAUCUUCCACAAUGGGCGAAAGCCUGAUGGAGCAACGCCGCGUGUGUGAUGAAGGGUUUCGGCUCGUAAAACACUGKUGUAAGAGAAGAAUGACAUUGAGAGUAACUGUUCAAUGUGUGACGGUAUCUUACCASAAAGGAACGGCUAAAUACGUGCCASCAGCCGCGGWAAUACGUAUGUUCCAAGCGUUAUCCGGAUUUAUUGGGCGUAAAGCGAGCGCASACGGUUAUUUAASUCUGAAGUGAAAGCCCUCAGCUCAACUGAGGAAUUGCUUUGGAAACUGGAUGACUUGAGUGCASYASAGGAAAGUGGAACUCCAUGUGUAGCGGUGAAAUGCGUAGAUAUAUGGAAGAACACCAGUGGCGAAGGCGGCUUUCUGGACUGUAACUGACGUUGAGGCUCGAAAGUGUGGGUAKCAAACAGGAUUASAUACCCUGGUAGUCCACACCGUAAACGAUGAGUGCUACGUGYYUGAGGGUUUCCGCCCUUCAGUGCCGCAGCUAACGCAUURAGCACUCCSCCUGGGGGAGUACGACCSCAAGGWUGAAACUCAAAGGAAUYGACGGGGACCCGCACAAGCGGGGGAGCAUGUGGUUAAUUCGAAGCAACGCGAAASAACCCUUACCAGGUCUUGACAUCCCUYGACAACUUCCASARAUGGAGCGUUCCCUUCGGGSGACAACGGYGAACAGGUGGUGCAUGGCUYGUUCGAYCASCCUCCGKYGUYCAUGAGAUGURGGUUAGUWCCCGCCAAACUSAGCSCAACCCUUAUUAUCUUAGUKGCCAGCMAUUCAGUKGSGCACSACUYKCUARGKSRAGAACAMC